GGAAUAUUGGUCAAUGGGCGAGAGCCUGAACCAGCCAAGUAGCGUGCAGGAAGACGGCCCUAUGGGUUGUAAACUGCUUUUAUACAGGGAUAAAGUGUGCCACGUGUGGCGUUUUGUAGGUACUGUAUGAAUAAGGACCGGCUAAUUCCGUGCCAGCAGCCGCGGUAAUACGGAAGGUCCGGGCGUUAUCCGGAUUUAUUGGGUUUAAAGGGAGCGCAGGCCGACUGGUAAGCGUGACGUGAAAUGUAGCCGCUCAACGGCUGAACUGCGUCGCGAACUGUCAGUCUUGAGUGAGUUCGAUGUUGGCGGAAUUCGUGGUGUAGCGGUGAAAUGCUUAGAUAUCACGAAGAACUCCGAUUGCGAAGGCAGCCAACAAGGCCUUUACUGACGCUAAAGCUCGAAGGUGCGGGUAUCGAACA
rnacentral:rRNA from 1 species